GCUUGAAGGAAUGCGUUGCUUCUCAUUCCGUGUGGUUACGCUCGAAAAUCAGAAUCGGGAACACAACGACUUGGGUCGGGAUUACGACAGCACAAAGAGAAAGUUGGAUGAUUCAAGAGUAACCACGAUAGUUAGACUCUGAUUAGACGUGGAUUGCCGGCGUUAAUGCCCGGUGAAAAUCAACGAAGCUGACCAAACGACGGUGGUCGACACCAGUGCAGUGCAAAGGGAAGGACAGAGUAAACGAGUAAAAGGGUAAAACGGAGCUGCGAUGCAAUGGAUCGACAAACUGAUGCGGCUGCAUCGUCUGCGGCAAAUUGAUUUACUUGACAAAGAUUAAGUUACCGAAUUAGAGUUGUAUCCAGGCCAACACGUUCGAUCGUUAUUCGAACUUAACGCUACUAC
rnacentral:misc_RNA from 1 species